rnacentral:misc_RNA from 1 species
CCGUGGAUGUGAUGCCGCCGGAGAUGUGCGCGACGUGCAGGGAUACAUGCUCCUGCCAGUAUUCUCAUCUGCGCUACUGCAAACGCUUUACUUCAUGCGUCUGCGAAGCUCGUCGCCUUGCGAGCGGAAGCCUUUACCACCACCUCUCAACAUAAGGCAGUACGACGCAUAAGCGUGCACGAGGUGUGUGUGGGAGGGAGGGAGGGCAGGCGAUGACACGCUGCCUGUCGCGCCUACGUAAACGAAACAGUCAUUGCACACGAGGACGAGUAGGCAGCUGUCAUGGGCAUCUUAGACUUCUUGAUGCGGAUCCGCCCCACCAGUAGACCGGCGGGUAUUUUGAUUCUAGGUCUCGACAACGCUGGCAAGACAAGCAUCCUGCGCCAGCUCAGUGACGAGGAUAUCUCGCACGUCGCGUCCACGCAGGGAUUUCAGAUUAAGAAGCUUGUUACCGGCGGAAUCAAGAUCAACGUUUGGGAUAUGGGAGGCCAGCGCGCGGCGCGCUACUACUGGCGACAGUACUUCAAAGAGGCGGACGUCGUCAUCUACGUCAUCGAUGCGGCUGAUCCUCGGCGCAUCCGCGAGGCACGCCGUGAGCUGGAACACCUCCUGGAGGAAGAGAAGGUGGCAGGGGUGCCAAUGCUGGUCUUCGCGAACAAGCAGGAUUUGCUGGGUGCGAUGUCGGUAGAAGAGGUCUCCGUAGCACUCAACCUGACAGAUUUGCGAGACCGCCGCUGGCACAUUCAGGCGUGCUCAGCCAAAACAGGCGAGGGGCUGGAUGAGGGCAUCAGCUGGGCCGUGAAGCAGGUGAAGAAGUGACCAGCUAUAUGGCUUCUGCAUGCGUUGCCUCUAUCCCGGUAAGGAUCUCGGCUUCUUCUCCCCGUUUCUUUCUAUCUUCCUAUGUGUUCUGCUGAUGGGGCGUUUUGGUGCGUCUUCUCUGAUUCUUGAAAUGGAUUACUCAAACGACUUCGCUGCGCCCUAGCUUGUCCGUGCACAGUUGCGUGUGCGCGACUGCCUCGUGAGCGUUUAUGAGAUCCAUUUAAUUUGGCGUGUGUGGGUGUACGCGCGUGCACGUGCCAGGUCCACCUCGGCCAUCACAUGUGUGUUUGGUGCGACGUGCGUGGACGUCUUUUCCGCGUUCCCCCCCACCCCGUGCGCAUGUGCAUAAGUGUCUUUUUUUUUCUGCGCCUUCCUCAUGUCUCUCUCUGGGGCAUGGAGACACCGUAGCGCGGUCUCUUGGCGUUCACUACCCUAACUCUGCGUGGCUUCGUCACACAG